CACGUAGGGUGCGAGCGUUGUCCGGAAUUAUUGGGCGUAAAGAGCUCGUUAGGCGGUGUGUCGCGUCGGCCGUGAAAACCUGGCAGCUUAACUGUGGGCUUGCGGUCGAUACGGGCAUCACUGGAGGUUCGGCAGGGGAGACUGGAAUUCCGUGGUGAUAGCGGUGAAAUGCGCAGAUAUCAGGAGGAACACCGGUGGCGGAAGGCGG
rnacentral:rRNA from 1 species